AUGGACAUGAGGGCCCCUACUCAGCUCCUGGGCCUCCUGCUGCUCUGCCUCCUAGGUGCCAGAUGUUCCGGCCAAACGAUAACCCAGAGUCCAUCGGUGGUGUCUGCACCUGUGGGAGGCACAGCCACCAUCAAUUGCCAGUUAAGUCAGAGUGUUUGCCAGAACAAUCAAUUAUCCUGGUAUCAGCAGAAACCAAGACAACGUCCAAAGCUCCUGAUCUAUCUGGCAUCCACUUUAGCACCUGGGGUUCCCUCGAGGUUCAAGGGCAGUGGAUCUGGGACAUCAUUCACCCUCACCAUCAGCCCGGUGCAGGCUGAGGAUGCAGGAAUCUACUACUGUCAAGGAUGUUUUUGUACUAGUGAUUGUUCGGCUCCCACAGUGAUACAAGCCUGUACAAAAACCUCCCAUGAAAGCAGAAGUAUGGGUGUGGGCUUCCCCAUCUGCUCAUCCUUAGGCUUAUCAUCUAACAGGCAUUCGUUGAUUCAAUAAGUCAUGCAUGGUUUGUGAAACUUAAUACAAAGUCCUCUGGAACUCCUUCUAGCGUUCUUAAUUUUUCUUUGAAGUUGGCAGCUGGAUCUCAGGAAUGUCCAUGAUUUUACUCAUUUAAAGGUAAGGAAUGAUUAUGCUUGAGUACUCAAUGUUACAUUAUGCCUUCGAUUCAUACAGUAAAAAGGAAUUAUUAUGGAUCUUUCAAGCAGAAACAUUAAGUAGAAUUUAUUAUAAUCCAAUUAUACUUUCAUGUUCUAGGAAGGUGGGCUAAGAGAUAGUGAUCUUAGAAACGUGUGUUUCUGUAUUCACCCUGAAUUCCAGCCUCUCUGAGAGAAGGAACAGGCUCCUGACUCUGUGGUCCUCGUCCCUGGAGCUGAUGCUCUCAGCUGCCUGCAUCCUCACAGGUGGUUCCUCAGUCCUUCAUUACUGGUUCUGCCUGCAAGUGCUGAUGGAUUUUCAGAACUUGUCUUCUGAUAUUCAAAUGUCAGGGUACAUGGGUUCAUUGUUUCAUGAAUUCAUGGUGAGCUAGGAAAUGCGAUUUUAACUCAGGUGAAUA